AAAGAGUGUAGUUUUAUAUUGUUUACAUCCAACGUUUAACUGUCUAUCUUAUUUAAAUUUUUUAUAAUUAGUAUUUUUAUUAGAUGAUAAAAUAUAAAUAAUACUUUAUAUAUCACUAAUUUUUAAAAUUUUUUAUAAAUUUUUUAAAUAAAACGGAUGGUAAAAUAUUUGACACGGAAACUUGUAUCACUCAAA
rfam:Oryza glaberrima chromosome 3 Oglab03_0144_7, whole genome shotgun sequence.